GACAUUUGCUCACAUAACAACCUUCAAAGACUCAAACUACUUAGCCUGUGGGAGAACGAAUUGGAGGGAGAUAUACCAUUGAGUUUGGGUGAAUGUACACAACUUGAGAGUAUUUACUUGUCAGACAACAACUUUGGUGGAAAUGUCCCUCGAGAAAUUGGGAACAUCACACAGCUUAAGGAAUUAUACCUUAAUGGGAACAAUUUGAAAGGUGGUAUACCGAAAGAGAUUGGUAAUCUUAAUAAUCUAGAGUUAUUAGCCAUGAGUGACAACAAUCUUAAUGGACCAUUUCCAAGACAGAUUUUGAACAUCACAAGUCUCCGUCAACUAUACCUCAGCAGCACCUCUUUAAAUGGCCGCCUACCAAAAGACAUUUGCUCGCAUAACAACCUUCAAAGACUCAAACUACUUGACCUAUCGGAGAACAAAUUGGAGGGAGAUAUACAAUUGAGUUUGGGUCAAUGUACACAACUAGAGAGUAUUUACUUGUCAUCCAACAACUUUGGUGGAAAUGUCCCUCGAGAAAUUGGGAACAUCACACAGCUUAACGGAUUAAGCCUUAGUAGGAACAAUUUGAAAGGUAUGCUCUUGUCUUUAUACUAAUUAUUUAACUGAUUGUCUCGAAAUCAAUUGUUGAUAACGUCAUUCAGUUUCAUGCUUUGUUUUUCAAGCUUUGCAUGUUUUACAGUUAUAUCCAUCAUAAAAGGAAAGAUGAUUUUGGAGGCUUUUCCGAGGCUAAAAAAAAGUUAAUUUACCAUUUUGUCAUAGUUAUUAUUUAUUUUUCUCGUUUUGGGGUUUGAGAUAUAAUAUAGAGACAACACCCUACUCUAGCCAAAAUUUUUUAGUCAGAAAAUUCUAGUCAUAUAAAUAAAAAUAUGGAAAUAAUAGCAUUUUUUUAACUAAAAUACCCUUUUAGUGUGUAACAGUGUAAAAUACUCUACUACACACUUUUUAGAAGCGAAAAAGUGUGCAACAGUGUAAAUACAUUGUUACACAUUUUUUCGCAAUCACACACUUUUACGUUAUUGCACAUUUUUGUGAAAAAGUGUGUAACAGUGUAAAAAUACACCAUUACACGAUUUUCGUGAUUAUUACACGAUUUUUGAAAAAGUGUGUAACAUUGUAUUUUACAUUAUUACACAUUUUUACGUCAUUACACACUUUUGCGAAAAAAUGUGUAACAAUAUUAAGGAUAUAAUUGUACAUUUACAUUAAAAAAUGCUAGUUUUUCAUAUUUUUAUUUGGGUGGACAUUUUUUCCUUUUCUUAUCCAAGAAGGGCUAAUUGAGCCCAUUAAAGUAUAUGGAUACUUUCUCCAUCCCAUAAAAAUAUGCAUAGUUUUCCUUUUUCGUCCGUCCCAUAAAAACAUGCAUAGUCUAUUUAUAGUAAUAAUUCUCUCACUAAACAUCACAAUCAAUGUGGACCCUUUCUCCACUCACAUUAUACUUUACAGGAUUUCUUAAAACUCGUGCCGUCCCAAAUUUUUUGUUUUAUAUAUUUAUCUUCACUUUUUUGUC